rnacentral:rRNA from 1 species
GCGGUUAGGAGCUUACACCCACCCGUGUUUACAUACUAUUGUUGCUUUGGCGGGCCGUGGCCUCCACUGCGGGCUCUGCUCGUGUGUGCCCGCCAGAGAACCAAACUCUGAAUGUUAGUGAUGUCUGAGUACUAUCUAAUAGUUAAAACUUUCAACAACGGAUCUCUUGGUUCUGGCAUCGAUGAAGAACGCAGCGAAAUGCGAUAAGUAAUGUGAAUUGCAGAAUUCAGUGAAUCAUCGAAUCUUUGAACGCACAUUGCGCCCUGUGGUAUUCCGCCGGGCAUGCCUGUUCGAGCGUCAUUAUAACCACUCAAGCCUGGCUUGGUAUUGGGGCUCGCGGUUCCGCGGCCCCUAAAAACAGUGGCGGUGCCGGUGGGCUCUAAGCGUAGUAAAUCUCCUCGCUAUAGGGUCCCUCCGGUUGCUCGCCAGAACCCCCCCAUUUUUUCAGGUUGACCUCGGAUCAGGUAGGGAUACCCGCUGAACUUAAGCAUAU